GCCCGGCUAGCUCAACGGUAGAGCAACUGACUCUUAAUCAGUGGGUUGGGGGUUCGAAACCCCCGUCGGGUACCA
rnacentral:tRNA from 1 species